rnacentral:rRNA from 1 species
UUUAAAGAGAGUUUGAUCCUGGCUCAGGACGAACGCUGGCGGCGUGCCUAAUACAUGCAAGUCGAACGAACGGAGGAAGAGCUUGCUCUUCCAAAGUUAGUGGCGGACGGGUGAGUAACACGUGGGCAACCUGCCUGUAAGUUGGGGAUAACUCCGGGAAACCGGGGCUAAUACCGAAUGAUAAAGUGUGGCGCAUGCCACGCUUUUGAAAGAUGGUUUCGGCUAUCGCUUACAGAUGGGCCCGCGGUGCAUUAGCUAGUUGGUAGGGUAAUGGCCUACCAAGGCAACGAUGCAUAGCCGACCUGAGAGGGUGAUCGGCCACACUGGGACUGAGACACGGCCCAGACUCCUACGGGAGGCAGCAGUAGGGAAUCUUCCGCAAUGGACGAAAGUCUGACGGAGCAACGCCG